GACGAACGCUGGCGGCGUGCCUAAUACAUGCAAGUCGAGCGAUGAAGGAGAUACUUGUAUCUUUCGAAGAGCGGCAAACGGGUGAGUAACGCGUGGGGAAUCUGCCAAUGAGUGGGGGACAACAUUUGGAAACGAAUGCUAAUACCGCAUAAAAUCUAUUGAGACAUCUCAAGAGAUUGAAAGGAACAAUUGUUUCGCUCGUUGAUGAUCCCGCGUUGUAUUAGCUAGUUGGUGAGGUAAGGGCUCACCAAGGCGAUGGUACAUAGCCGACCUGAGAGGGUGAUCGGCCACAUUGGGACUGAGACACGGCCCAAACUCCUACGGGAGGCAGCAGUAGGGAAUCUUCGGCAAUGGACGAAAGUCUGACCGAGCAACGCCGCGUGAGUGAAGAAGGUUUUCGGAUCGUAAAGCUCUGUUGUUGUUAAAGAACGUUGAUGAGAGUGGAAAGUUCAUCAAGUGACGGUAAACAACCAGAAAGGGACGGCUAACUACGUGCCAGCCGCCGCGGUAA
rnacentral:rRNA from 1 species